CGUGAACGCUGGCGGUAGGCCUAACACAUGCAAGUCGAACGGCAGCACAGUAAGAGCUUGCUCUUACGGGUGGCGAGUGGCGGACGGGUGAGGAAUACAUCGGAAUCUACUUUUUCGUGGGGGAUAACGUAGGGAAACUUACGCUAAUACCGCAUACGACCUACGGGUGAAAGCAGGGGAUCUUCGGACCUUGCGCGAUUGAAUGAGCCGAUGUCGGAUUAGCUAGUUGGCGGGGUAAAGGCCCACCAAGGCGAGGAUCCGUAGCUGGUCUGAGAGGAUGAUCAGCCACACUGGAACUGAGACACGGUCCAGACUCCUACGGGAGGCAGCAGUGGGGAAUAUUGGACAAUGGGCGCAAGCCUGAUCCAGCCAUACCGCGUGGGUGAAGAAGGCCUUCGGGUUGUAAAGCCCUUUUGUUGGGAAAGAAAAGCAGCAGGUUAAUACCCCGCUGUUCUGACGGUACCCAAAGAAUAAGCACCGGCUAACUUCGUG
rnacentral:rRNA from 1 species